GUAGGGGGCAAGCGUUAUCCGGAUUUACUGGGUGUAAAGGGAGCGUAGACGGCGAAGCAAGUCUGAAGUGAAAGCUCGGGGCUUAACCCCGGAACUGCUUUGGAAACUGUUUUGCUGGAGUGCUGGAGAGGUAAGUGGAAUUCCUAGUGUAGCGGUGAAAUGCGUAGAUAUUAGGAGGAACACCAGUGGCGAAGGCGGCUUACUGGACAGUAACUGACGUUGAGGCGCGAAAGCGUGGGGAGC
rnacentral:rRNA from 1 species